rnacentral:rRNA from 1 species
CACCAUGAAGUUGGAGUUGCUAGUAAUCGCGGAUCAGCAUGCCGCGGUGAAUACGUUCCCGGGCCUUGUACACACCGCCCGUCACACCAUGGGAGUUGGGAGCGCCCGAAGCCGGUGAGGUAACCGAGAGGAGCCAGCCGUCGAAGGUGAGACCAAUGACUGGGGUGAAGUCGUAACAAGGUAGC